UUCAUUCCAUAAAAAAAACUUCAAACCAAAAGGAAGAAAGGGGAAAGACAUCUGUUGUAUCUUCCUCUUUCCCUUUAUAAGGAGAAUGGCAGAAAGACCUGUAAAAUAUACUUACAACAGCAAAAUUGGUGACGUUUGGCUCGCUUGCAACUUUCAAACUGGGUCUGUUUACAUGCGUGACGUCACUCGGGUUUGGGAAUGAUGUAAAAUAUCUUAUUUCUUGUAAAGUAUUUGUAACUAUCUUUUUUGUGAUAUUUCAAAAAAAAAAAAAAAAACACAUAUAAGAUUGGGAUAAUAUGUUCGUGAAUAUGACAAUAAAAUGUAUGUUUUCGAAUAAAAACGAACUAAGAAUGUAAAAGAAAAAAAAAACGAAAAAGAGAACAAAGGAAUAUGAAAUAAUAAAGUUCAAUUUCUCCAAAAUAUUAGGGAAUAACAUAUUAGACUUUGAUUUUUAAAUACCAUUAUCACUGGCUAUUUGUUUACUUGCAAAGGGAUAAUAAGUACAAAAUAUAAACUUUCCCAAAUACACAUCUAUUUUCUCCAUCAUCAACGGAAAGAACGAUUAAAUUCUGAUAAUCUACGCAGACUAAGAUAUUGAAUACUAACAAAACAUUUAAACCAAAUAUAAAAGCCGUCACGAGCACGUGACUCGGACCGAGAGGGAAGCCGACUUUGUUCGAAGGGACAGGCAGAGGCCCCUCUUUCUGUAGUAUCAAAACCAAAGACGCAAAA